GGCCUAGUGGUGUACUGGUAACACAUCCUCUCCUUCUCAGAAAGUACCCUGACAUUGGUUGAGGAGGCAUCCUGUUCAAUUCAGGGCUGGGCCA